CAUAGGUGGGAGAUAAAGUAUACAUACUUACAAGAUAUUUAUUGCAUAGUCAAACCAUGGAUCCAGAGAAACAAGUCAAUAAGUCAAAUCAAGAUGUGCAUGUGUGGUGAAUGAAUGGUGUAUGGUGAUGAUGGUGAUAACAAUGGCGAAAGUCUAAUUCUACUUGUGCUCUUUUGAGGGGAUACAUACCUUUCUUGCUCUUUUGAGACUUUUUGAGGAGAAUGAGAUGCUCUAUAUUUUCUUUUUCUUUCCUCUAAGGUGGGUAUCUUGUACCCCUAAUUCUACUAUCGGACACUUAUCCAUUUUUACGUCUCGUCUUACUUUUUCUUUUCUUUCGAGGUUCCGGGCACUUGCCCCUUUUUAUUUCCUCGUAACCUUUCU
rnacentral:lncRNA from 1 species